CGUUGAUCACGUGUCCUUCCAUGCGCACAACAGGUGGCAAUCGAAUCUGAUGAGAGAUGGGGCGCCAUCAAAAUGGGCCGUCGCCUCCCGCAUUGCAUGCCGAUCUAGAUGAGUAGUUGGAGAUUGCUGCUGCUGUGUGUCAACGGAAGAUGAAGUCCGUAGCUGGGAGGCCUGUGCUGCUGGGUGGUGCUGCUGGACGACCAUUUGAUGCUGCUGCGUAUCCAUUUGCGCUGCAUUUUGAGGAACUGGAAUAGUUUUCUG